rnacentral:rRNA from 1 species
AGUGAACGCUGGCGGUAGGCCUAACACAUGCAAGUCGAACGGCAGCACAGUAAGAGCUUGCUCUUACGGGUGGCGAGUGGCGGACGGGUGAGGAAUACAUCGGAAUCUACUUUUUCGUGGGGGAUAACGUAGGGAAACUUACGCUAAUACCGCAUACGACCUACGGGUGAAAGCAGGUGAUCUUCGGACCUUGCGCGAUUGAAUGAGCCGAUGUCGGAUUAGCUAGUUGGCGGGGUAAAGGCCCACCAAGGCGACGAUCCGUAGCUGGUCUGAGAGGAUGAUCGGCCACACUGGAACUGAGACACGGUCCAGACCCCUACGGGAGGCAGCAGUGGGAAAUAUUGGACAAUGGGCGCAAGCCUGACCCAGCCAUACCGCGUGGGUGAAGAAGGCCUUCGGGUUGUAAAGCCCUUUUGUUGGGAAAGAAAAGCAGCAGGUUAAUACCCCGCUGUUCUGAGGGUACCCAAAGAAUAGGCACCGGCUAACUUCGU